CAGGAGAAGCCUAUGGAACACGAGGGAGAAGCGAGGAAGAGGAGAAAAUGGAGAUAAGAGAGAAUUAGGAAAGAUGACGAAAAGAUCUGAAAAGACUCGGGGGAUUUAAAAACCAAAACAUACUGGAAUGAAUCAGUGCGCCGCUGGCAGUCGAAGGGGGAGGAUGUGCGCCACUCUGCUCUCCCGCCCAUACUCCCUUCAGACUCGUAUACAUAUUUACACAUAGCGGCGUUGUGUGUAUACCUGCAGCUCUCAGAAGUAUACAUAAGGCGUGGGAAGCAGAUUGUCAACGGAGAAAGCUGAUUGGACGAGAGAGAGGCCUAAUAAUAAUAAUAAUAAUAAUAAUAAUAAUAACAAUAAUAAUAACUUGAUAACAGAGGUAGUGAUUCUGUGAUAUAUAAUAGUAAUAAUAAUAAUAAUAAUAAUAAUAGUAAUAGUAGUAGUAGUAGUAGUAGUUGAAAUUAUAAGUAAUUAGUAGUAUCCUUUGUUCAGUAAGUAGUGGUGACGUAUGUAAAGUUCACAAGUUCGGGAGCCAAAAAAGUUCACAAGUUCGGGAGCCAAAGAAGUUUAUAAGUUCGGGAGCCAAAAAAGUUCACAAGUUCGGGAGCCAAAGAAGUUUAUAAGUUCGGGAGCCAAAAAAGUUCACAAGUUCGGGAGCCAAAAAAAGGUUCAUAAUUUGGGGAGCCAAAAAAGUUCCUAAGUUCGGGAGCCAAAGAAGUUUAUAAGUUCGGGAGCCAAAAAAGUUCACAAGUUCGGGAGCCAAAAAAAAGGUUUAUAAUUUCGGGAGCCAAAAAAGUUCACAAGUUCGGGAGCCAAAAAAGUUCAUAAGUUCGGGAGCCAAAAGAAAUUCCUAAGUUCGGGAGCCAAAGAAGUUUAUAAGUUCGGGAGCCAAAAAAAGGUUAAUAAUUUCGGGAGCCAAAAAGUUCCUAAGUUCGGAAGCCAAAGAAGUUCCUAAGUUCGGGAGCCAAAAAGUUCAAGAACGUAAAAAUUCCAAAGUUUGUAAGUAAUAAAAAGUUCGUAAGCCCAAAAUUUCGUGCGUUCGUCUCCAGUCAGUCAGUCAGUACAUACGUUCGUAAGCCGGAGCGCCAUAAGUCAGCCAUCCAGCCAGCCAGUCAGCCAACCAGUCAGCCAGCCAAUUAGCCAACCAGCCAACCAGUCAGUCAGCCAAUUAGCCAACCAAUCAGCCAGCCAAUUAGCCAACCAGCCAGCCAGUCAGCCAGCCAAUUAGCCAGUCAGCCAACCAGUCAGUCAGCCAAUUAGCCAACCAAUCAGCCAGCCAGUCAGUCAGCCAGUCAGCCAGCCAAUUAGCUAGACAGCCAGUCAGCCAGUCAGCCAGCCAGCCAAUUAGCCAGCCAGUCAGCCAGCCAGUCAGCCAGCCAGCCAAUCAGCCAGUCAGCCAGUCAGCCAGUCAGCCAGCCAGUCAGCCAGCCAGCCAAUCAGCCAGUCAGCCAGCCAGCCAGUCAGCCAGUCAGCCAGCCAGUCAGCCAGCCAGCCAAUCAGCCAGUCAGCCAGUCAGCCAGUCAGCCAGCCAGUCAGCCAGCCAGCCAAUCAGCCAGUCAGCCAGCCAGCCAGUCAGCCAGUCAGCCAGCCAGUCAGCCAGUUAUGUUGAGCUGGGCCAGAAAACACGUCAAGGGAAGGGGGGUAAACAACAGGGGGAGGAGGAGGAGGGGGAGGGGAGCCAGGCCGGUGCAAGUACGGAUGCGAAUACGGAUCAAACGAGUCCGGAAAAACGCAUGAAAAGUCCGGAUAAGCGGAAACUGAGCCUAGAUAAACUGAAAUCUAGUCCGGAUAAGUGCAAGGCGAGUCCGGAUAAGCGGGAUUCGGAUCGGAAGACGCCUACUUUCUCCCGCAAGCUAGACUCCUUUCGGAAACUAGCUUCGUAUCGCAAGAGUCCGGAUAAGCGAGAGAGUCCGGAAAAACGAGAGAUGAGUCCGGAUAAGCGAGAAGGUCCGGAAAAACGAGGUGUCAGUCCGGAAAAACGGGAGAAAAGCCCAGAUCAGAGAAGCACGAGUCCGGAUAAGCGAGAGAUGAGUUCGGAUAAGCGAGGCAUCAGUCCGGAUAAGGGGGACGGUUCGGUUGCGAUUCAGCCGAGAGGUACCACAAAGGUUUUCGUUCUACCACCAUUAACUUCACUACCACAAUUAACAGCUCCUAGGCCAGUCACCACCACCACCACUACUACCACUACUACUACUACUACUACUACUACUACUACUACUACUACUACUACUAUGAGAUUCGCCAGCAAGCCCCCUCGUAGUAUUUUCCCGCUACCACAAUCUUCUAUAACUAUUACUACUACUACUCCACCACCACCACUACCCCCAAAACUAUUUUCAACUACUACUACUACUACUACUACUACCAGACUACCACCAUCACCACCGCAUUUGUAUGGUAAAGAGGACACAUUAGGAGGAGGAGGAGGAGGAGGAGGAGGAGGAGGAGGAGGAGGAGAGGAUAAGAUUGAAGAGAAGGAGGAAGAGGAGGAAGAGAAGAAGAAAGAAGAAGAGGAGGAAGAAAGAUUCAAUAAAAGCCCGUCAACCGCAAUUCAACCACAGAAUGUUGGUAGUGAUACUGGUAGCCAAGACAAGACGCCUACCACCAUCAUCACCAUUCCUACCACUACCACCACCACCACAACCACUCAAGCAGGCGUGAAGGAUCCCAGGAAUAGUGGUAGCGAUAGUGGUGGCGUCAGCUUUCAACCACAAUCACCGCAAUUCGAAAAAACAAAUUUAGCGGGAAAAGGAGAAAACGGAGAAGCAUCAGAGAAAACCGGUGCCUUUAAUGGGGGACUUGUGCAUUCAUCUCCUCCAGAUUUAUCUCAUUUUAAGCCUCAAAACAUCACACAGACGCUUGGUGAAGAUACACAAACCUACGGAAAUGAUAAAGAAGUAAGUUUUAGGCCUACAGACCAGCCUACAGUGCCUAAAACCGGUGAAAUUAACAAAAAACUGGAAUUUUCCUCCUCUCAACCUACUGCAGUGUCACCAGAUCAGUGUAAGACGUAUGACGGUGAAACAAAUCAAAUUUCCAGUGUUUAUAAGGUAAAGCCAGCUAAGCCAGAGGUGGAAACAAGCCACAUGACACAUAAGGGAGGAGAUGAGAUACCGAGAGAUAAGCCAAGUGUGGGAGAUAAGCCAAUGAUGCCAGAUAUGAACGGCGCGCAAACCUUGGAUGACUACAUGGCGAUUCUGGCAACAGUAGCAGACUUGGAAAUCCCAGGUGAAGUUUCAGAAGACGAAAAUUUAAAGAUUAAGGAUAAAAUAACCAUAGAUGAACACUCCCCAGCCAUUCCAGCGCCAGAGACUCAUGGAAAAAUAGAUUCCCUACCACUGGAAAGCCAAGAUAAGCCAGCAGAUAAGCCAGAAGAGGAGGAAACCAGCAAAAUAAGAGAGAGAGAAAGUGAAAGUCGUUUAGAGGUUAAAGACUGUGUCACACCACUAGAAACCGAAACACAAACUUUAGAUAAGCCGCAAAGCCUAGAUAAGCCUCAAUUCAAGCCAUGGGAGGGACAUAAAAGGAUGGAGAGCCUAGAUAAGCCUGGAACGAAGCCACAAGAGGGAGAAGAAGAGCAAAAUAUGAAAGAGAUCGAAGAAAGCCAAGCUGAGCGAACCAUGAAGCCAGAGGAGAAAGAAAACGGACAAAAUAAAAGAAAACAAGAAGAUUUUGACCAAGUAAGCCAAUCUGAGCAACAAGAUAAGCCAGAAAAGGAGGAAAAUGAUGAAAUAACCCAAUUUAAUACAGAAAACACGACAGAACAGGGAAAUAUCAAGCAGCUAAGCCAGUUUAAGCCAGAAUACGAGGCUGAACGAGAAGAAAAUUUAGGGGUAACUCAAGUAAAACCAGAAAUUGAAGAACAGCAAGCAAACCCGGAGAUAAACGCACAAAAUGGAGAUAUCGGUGAGAAAAGCCAGUUUAAGCCAGAAAAUAAGGCAGAACUGGAAGAAAACGCGGAAAUAGGCGGAGAAAACCGAGAAAUUCAGGGCAAACUGGAGAAAAACGAGAAAAUGAAUCAGAAAAUUGCAGAAAAUGGGGCAAAACAAGGAUAUUUAAAGGAAAGCCAAUCUGAUCCACUAACCAAGCCGGGGACAGGGGAAAGCCAAGCAGAACGCCAGUAUAGGUUUGAAAUUAAGCCAGCGAGUGAGCGAAUAAACGAGAACAAGUCGGAAAGUGAAUAUCAAGAUGUCACUGCUGAAGAAAAUGAAAUGGAGGAGUAUAACCCGUUUUCCGACGCCAUAGAAAACGGAGAUGUGGAGGAGAAAACGGGGGAUUUAGGGGUAACUGGUGAAGAGGUGAUGAAAAAUGAGGAAAUUGAGGAAAAAGAUGAAAAAGAUGUUGAUUUGAUUACUUCUACAACUACUACUACUACUACUACUCCUACUACUACUACUACUGCUACUACUCCUACUACUCCUACUACUGAGGAAGUGAAAAACAGUGAAAAUAACGAAGAAAAUUAUAAAAAAGAAAGCGAUUUUACUACUACUACUACUACAACUACUACUACUACUACUACUACACCUCCACCACGCCCCCCCUGCCCCUCCCCCGCCAGAAGGAUGUCCAAAGAGGGGGUGCAAGGACUGGAGGGGCGCAGGAGGGGGAGCUUAGGGGCCAAAGAGGGGGGAGAGAGGGGGGUUCUCUUCCCUCCUCCCCCUCUAUUGCAAAGAAAGUUAGGAAGGCGCCCCCUGUUCCACUCGCACGGUCUUUACAAGGAAUCAACAGCACCCAGAGGACCCCCCGGCCCCCACCACCACCACCACCACCGCGCCCGCCACACUGCCGCGCCGCAAGGUGAAAAAAUCACUCAACCCUUUCGAAUCAGACGAAGAGGAAGAGGAGGAGGAGAAGAGGAGGAAGGAAGAGGAGGAGAGGAGAAGGAAGGAAGAGGAGGAGAGGAGGAGGAGGGAAGAGGAAGAGAGGAGACGAAAGCCAGUUUCCUUAAACCCAUUUGACUCAGAGGACGAGGAAGAGGAAGAGGAAGACAGAGGAGGAGGAGGAGGAGGAGGAAGAGGAGGAGGAGGAGAAGGAAAAAAUCCAUUUGAUUCUGAUGAUGAUGAUGAUGAUUUCACCCCCCUCCCCCCUCCCCAGCACCUCCUCCACGCAAGCCCCCUCCACUAACCCCUUCGAAGAGGAGGAAGAGGAGGAGGAAGAGGAAGAGGAGUUUGUGAGGGGAGAGGACAGGAGGUCAACGGGGUUCCGGCGCCCCCUCUUCCCCCCUCCCCGUUCAAGAGGGAGGGGGUGAGGGGUUCUCUGCCCCCCCAAAUGCUGAGGGGGAAGGGAGAGGCAAGAAGAAGAAGAGGAAGGCACCUCCGCCCCCGCAGACAUCACCAGGAGGAGGAGGAGGAGGAGGAGGAGGAGGAGGAGGGGGAAGAAGGCGCCCCCACCUCGUCCCCCACCCCCCGCCUUCCCCCAACACCCCCGCCAAGUAACAAGAAAUAAACCAAGAAUAUUAUUAUUAUUAUUAUUAUUAUUAUUAUUAUUAUUAUUAUUAUUAUUAUUAUUAUUAUUAUUAUUAUUAUAAACUUAAAGGAACAAACGGUCAUUCCUUUAACAUAUGUGAUCUGAACUGGCCUUAGAGAGAGAGAGAGAGAGAGAGAGAGAGAGAGAGAGAGAGAGAGAGAGAGAGAGAGAGAGAGAGAGAGAGAGAGAGAGAGCUUUUAU